rnacentral:rRNA from 1 species
AACGAACGCUGGCGGCAGGCCUAACACAUGCAAGUCGAGCGGAUCCUUCGGGAUUAGCGGCGGACGGGUGAGUAACGCGUGGGAAUAUGCCCUUCUCUACGGAAUAGCCUCGGGAAACUGGGAGUAAUACCGUACACGCCCUACGGGGGAAAGAUUUAUCGGAGAAGGAUUGGCCCGCGUUGGAUUAGGUAGUUGGUGGGGUAAUGGCCUACCAAGCCUACGAUCCAUAGCUGGUUUGAGAGGAUGAUCAGCCACACUGGGACUGAGACACGGCCCAGACUCCUACGGGAGGCAGCAGUGGGGAAUCUUAGACAAUGGGGGAAACCCUGAUCUAGCCAUGCCGCGUGAGUGAUGAAGGCCUUAGGGUUGUAAAGCUCUUUCAGCUGGGAAGAUAAUGACGGUACCAGCAGAAGAAGCCCCGGCUAACUCCGUGCCAGCAGCCGCCGUAAGAC